UAACGGCGAGUGAAGCGGUAACAGCUCAAAUUUGAAAGCUAGCUCUUUUAGGGUUCGCAUUGUAAUUUGUAGAAGAUGCUUCGGGUGUGGCCCCGGUCUAAGUUCCUUGGAACAGGACGUCAUAGAGGGUGAGAAUCCCGUAUGUGACUGGGUGCUUUCGCUCAUGUGAAGCUCUUUCGACGAGUCGAGUUGUUUGGGAAUGCAGCUCAAAAUGGGUGGUAAAUUUCAUCUAAAGCUAAAUAUUGGCCAGAGACCGAUAGCGCACAAGUAGAGUGAUCGAAAGAUGAAAAGCACUUUGGAAAGAGAGUUAAACAGUACGUGAAAUUGUUGAAAGGGAAGCGCUUGCAACCAGACUUGCGCGCUGAUGAUCAUCCGGGCUUCUGCCCGGUGCACUCGUCUGCGCUCAGGCCAGCAUCGGUUUCGGUGGUGGGAUAAAGGCCUUGGGAAUGUAGCUCCUCUCGGGGAGUGUUAUAGCCCUCGGUGCAAUGCCGCCUACCGGGACCGAGGACCGCGCUUCGGCUAGGAUGCUGGCGUAAUGGUUGUAAGCGACCCGUCUUGAAACACGGACCAAGGAGUCUAACAUCUAUGCGAGUGUUUGGGUGUCAAACCCAUACGCGUAAUGAAAGUGAACGGAGGUGAGAACCCUUAAGGGUGCAUCAUCGACCGAUCCUGAUGUCUUCGGAUGGAUUUGAGUAAGAGCAUAGCUGUUGGGACCCGAAAGAUGGUGAACUAUGCGUGAAUAGGGUGAAGCCAGAGGAAACUCUGGUGGAGGCUCGCAGCGGUUCUGACGUGCAAAUCGAUCGUCAAAUUUGCGUAUAGGGGC
rnacentral:rRNA from 1 species